ensembl:ncRNA R13A1.17 ncRNA
ACCGCUAGUUUGAAAUAAAACAACAAUAAUGUUGAUAGUUUAUUUGAAUGAAAAUUGGUUUGUAAGUUAUCGCAUAAAAAUUAUAGCUUGAAAUUAGACUCCGCUCAUAUAUUGUCAGUUUUUUCAUACAGCAAUUUUCUAUUUUUGCCC